rnacentral:rRNA from 1 species
GACAGAGGGUGCAAACGUUGUUCGGAAUUACUGGGCGUAAAGCGCGUGUAGGCGGCUUCGUAAGUCGGAUGUGAAAGCCCUGGGCUCAACCUAGGAAGUGCACUCGAAACUUCGAAGCUGGAGUCCUGGAGAGGAAGGCGGAAUUCUCGGUGUAGAGGUGAAAUUCGUAGAUAUCGAGAGGAACACCGGUGGCGAAGGCGGCCUUCUGGACAGUGACUGACGCUGAGACGCGAAAGCGUGGGGAGCAAACAGG